rnacentral:rRNA from 1 species
GACGAACGCUGGCGGCGUGCUUAACACAUGCAAGUCGAACGGACAGGCCCUGCUUUUGUGGGGUGCUCGAGUGGCGAACGGGUGAGUAACACGUGAGUAACCUGCCCUUGACUUUGUGAUAACUUCAGGAAACUGGGGCUCAUACCGGAUAGGAGCUCCUGCUGCAUGGUGGGGGUUGGAAAGUUUCGGCGGUUGGGGAUCGACUCGCGGCUUAUCAGCUUGAUGGUGUGGUAGUGGCUUACCAGGUCUUUGACGGGUAGCCGGCCUGAGAGGGUGACCGGCCACAUUGGGACUGAGAUACGGCGCAGACGCCUACGGGAGGCAGCAGUGGAGAAUAUUGCACAAUGGGCGGAAGUCUGAUGCAGCAACGCCGCGUGCGGGAUGACGGCCUUCGGGUUGUAAACCGCUUUCGCCGGUGACGAAGCGUGAGUGACGGUACUGGGUAAAGAAGCACCGGCUAACUACGUG